rnacentral:rRNA from 1 species
GACGAACCGUGCGAACGUUAUUCGGAAUCACUGGGCUUAAAGCGCGUGUAGGCGGAUGAGCGCGUCUGUCGCUGAAAUCCCCCGGCUCAACCGGGGAACGGGCGCGGAUACGGCUCGUCUCGAGGGGCGUAGGGGGACCUGGAACUUCCGGUGGAGCGGUGAAAUGCGUUGAGAUCGGAAGGAACGCCCGUGGCGAAAGCGAGGUCCUGGACGCCUACUGACGCUGAGACGCGCAAGAGCCAGGGGGAGCGGAGGGAUAGAUACCG